rnacentral:misc_RNA from 1 species
GACGACCGCCAGUCGUAUUGUUGCGUCGUGCAAGGAAGGUGUCGGUAAUACGCGUGCGCGAGAUCGAAAAAAUUAUGUUUUGAAUUUUAUAACUUUUUAAAGUGAAAUCGUUUAAAACUAAAUAAAAACUUUUUUGUCGACAUUUUUGGAAAAACAUCUACAAAUAUUAUAGUGUGAAGUUCCGUUUUUGUAUAAAAAACUUGUGCCGUAAGGAAUUUCUUAACAGAAACGGGUUUGCGUCCUAUCUACUGUUUAUUAUGGAUUUUGUAAUCGCAUAAUUUUAAAAUACAGAUAGAAUAUUCAAUGUGUAAAUGUGUUUGAAUUGUUAGUGGCAUAACUUUUCCGUCAAAGGUUUUUUAUUGGACACAUUGUUGACGAAAGAUCGGAUUGCAUACGCCUUUAAUUCAAAAAGACGUCCGACAACGAAAGUGCCGCCAAAAUGAGAUAAAAAAGACACCUUCCAGUUAAAAGUAAAUAAAAAGCAUAGUGCAGUGGUAAAAACGAAAUUAAAAUAAUGACUAGGACAUAGUGAAAUAAAGUGUCAGAAGUCUGUCAUGCGGUGGUUUAGAAAGUGAAAAGCAGUUCGGUAACUUGGUCACGAGAUGGCGUUAUUAACCGUGACGUUAGUGAGUGCAGUGCUGUGUGCAGCGGUGGUAAAUGUUUAUGGACAUGUAGCGCUUACCUUCCCGCCUGCCAGGCGGUUUGACUUGGACUUUUUGGACAACUCCCGAACGAAGCCGCCGUGUGGAAUGCCUAAAGGAACGCUGAAAACAUCGUUUUUAGCUGGAUCAUCAUUUACAGUACAUUGGCAUUUAGCAUAUGCUCACCGAGGAGGCUUCAGUUUAAGAAUAUUGGACUACCUGGAAAGACCUGUAUUAGACUUAACGCCUAGAGCAGGAGGGUCCGAAUUUGUACGAGACGAUGUUACCGCCCAGAAGUACGAGGUGCGCCUGCCGAGCGACUUUACGUGUGACAACUGCACGCUACAACUCCAGAGGGAGGCGGGCGAAUGGGGCGCCAACUACCGGUUCUGGUCCUGCGCCGAUAUUGAUAUUGUGCCGCGGAAAGACUACCACGAGACAUGCUCUGGGCACGGGUUCCAUAUCCUGGGACGAUGCAAGUGUAAUAAGUCAUACUUCGGCCCUCGAUGUCAGUUCUCCGACGAAUGCACUGACGACAGCGAGUGCGGGCUGCGCGGCAAGUGUAUCGACAUUAACGCGACAGAGGCGCCUAGCCGCGCCUGCUACUGCCCCGUAGGCUUCUACGGAAAGGGAUGUAAUAAGAAGUCACCAUGGAAGGACAAGAAUAUCAACCUGGCUUUGUACAGCCACCGCCAGCUGUCGCCGGAGUACAACCUGUACUGGCGAAUCGUCAAGGAUCAGGAUGAGUUGGAGGUCGUUAUGAUUGUCAACGGCACCUCUUAUGCUGGUAUCGGAUGGAGACCAAGUGGACUGAACAAACAAUGCAAAAAUUUCCCAGUGUUGGGACCCCCUCAGGAGGAGAAAGGAAACACUCCAAAACCAGAACCGUUGCCAGAACCAGAACCUAAAGCUGAGCCCGAACCGGAACCUUCUCCGGAACCCAAAUCCGAACCCAAACCCACUCCGGAACCCAAACCGGAACCUAAACCAGAACCGUCACCCGAACCCGCUGCAGAACCUAAACCAGAACCUGCACCAGAACCGGAACCAGCUUCUGAACCUACUCCUGAACCUAGUCCCGAACCCAAAGCGGAACCCGAACCGACACCUGAACCCAAAGCAGAACCCACUUCUCAGAUGCCAGAGAAUGACAAUAGGAACAAGAGAGUGGCAAUGCAUUCCCUGGACGGCAUCGACUUCAAGAAUCUUGGAGAUGACGUCACUGUGAAGACCAGUGUCUCCUACAAAGUGUCUUCUUCUAAAGGACGCGGGAAACGCCAAGCUCCAGAACCGCAACAUUUGGAAACCACGACCUCUGUAAUCGAAAACAAAACACCUAACCUUGAACCCGAAUCUACACCCGAACCUUCCCCAGAACCUAGUUCUGAAUCCACUACUACAAAACCCGAACCAAAAUCGACUCCUAAGACUAAAUUCGCUCCCGCAAAACCAAAGUACGCGCCCAAAGUUAGAAAGCUAUCAGAGCUUAAUGCUACUACACUUAAGUCUACAACUACAACAAAGAAAUUCAAUGCUACGGAACCUACUCCCACUCCAGAACUUAAGGCUGAACCUACUCCGGAACCUGCAUCAGAACCCGAACCUACACCGGAACCCAAAUCCGAACCUACUCCUGAACCUUCUCCGGAGCCUACGUCUGAACCCGAACCUACUCCUGAACCUAAAUCCGAGCCAGAACCUUCUCCGGAACCUACAUCAGAACCAGAACCUUCUCCGGAACCUAAAUCUGAGCCAGAACCUUCUCCUGAGCCUAAAUCUGAACCUGAGCCUACUCCCGAACCGAAAUCUGAGCCUGAACCUUCUCCGGAACCUAAAUCAGAACCCGAACCUUCUCCGGAACCUAAAUCGGAACCUGAACCUACGCCAGAACCCGAAUCAUCAUCCGAACCUUCUCUAGAACCUAAAGCAGAACCCAAACCUGAACCUAGCCCAGAGCCUAAAUCCGAACCUGAACCUACUCCAGAGCCUAAAUCAUCACCUGAACCCACUCCGGAACCCGAACCCAAACCGGAACCCACUGAACCCCUAAUAGUACCCAAAUCUGCAGCGGAUACCGAGACAUUGCUAGUGAAGGGACUUACAGAAGAUGCAGGGUACUUCCCCGCCCAUGAAUACGCGCCAAAGUUCGACUUCAACCCUAUGGACUGCACCGACAUCGUGAUUGGAACCGCUAGAGGGAACUACCAUCGAGUACUGGAUUACUACACUAGAGAUAGAUCGACGCCACGUGUGGAUACGUUCUGGGGCGGGCACGAUGACGUGACGGCGGCGACAGGCUUCGAGGAGAACGGGGUCACUACCAUUAUGUUCCGGAAGAAGCUCAAGGCUAAAGAACCAACCGACCACUCGAUAGUGGACGACCAGAUGCACGUCAUCUGGGCGCGUGGUCAGGAGCCGGGCAAGUACGUGCACUCACCCCCGUCGGGCGUGGAGCGCGGUGUUGCCGCCGUCAAGGACUUCUACAGGAGUGAUGAGCUCAAAUACCACGGACAUGGCGGGCAGAGGGGUGUUGCCAGCAUUAAUUUCUUUGAAGAAACUAAAACCUCAAUAUCAGGGGGCGUAACUCCGCUAGAGAAUAACAAGUGUGGUGGUCAGUUCCGCUUCCCUCACGACUGCUCACCCUCCAACGGCAGCUGCGCGUACCUCGCCACGUGGGAGUACCUCGGCCUCAAGAGGGGCAAGGAUAAAGUGAGGUUCACCAUCAAGACCAAGGAGAGCAAGUACUGGACAGGAAUUGGGUUCAGUAAGGACAAGAAAAUGUCGCAAACAGACGCAAUAAUCGGCUGGGUGGACCCUCGUUCCAACCGCCCCUUCAUCAUGAACACGUGGGUCAGCGGCUACUCGGCGCCCAAGCUGGACCCGAACCAGCACAUCACGGCGGCUUCUGGCAGCCUCAUUGACGGGCUCACCACGCUCAGCUUCCUCAGGAGCAGAGAUACUGGAGAAUCACGGGACCUAGCGUUCACGGACGACCAGUGCCUGUACAUGAUGUUCAUCACCCAAGGCGGAGGCUUCGACGCGGUCAACAAACGCACCAGCAAACACCUGACUACCCCCAUAGUGACCGAGGAGAAGAUAUGCAUCAAGGCUUGCGGCCCGGAACCUACAGAAGAAGAACUAUCCACCGAGCCAACCAUCCCUGGCGAGACAGCAUACACCAUGCUGAUCCGCAUAACAGGGUUGGCAGACAGCUUCAAGCCGCCGGCGCCAGGCAGUAAGGAGUUCGAUGACCUCAGCCAGCAGGUGGCCGAUGCCAUGAGGCAGGAGAUCGGGGGCACUAAGGGAUUCCACGGUCUGCAAGUUAACGGGUUUAUGCAAAACGAAACAAAAUCCAUCAUUGCGGAACUGACCCUGAAGUCCAUCGAUUCCAAUCUCAUCGAAGGUUCAAGUGCCCGCUCGCUGGACGGCGCCGGACAAUCAGACGACGCGGACAAGUGGGUGCGCGUGGUGCGGGACACGCUGGCCAAGGGGCGCGUCGCGCACUUGAACGUCGACCCGGAGUUCUUGUUGCUUGAACCUCAGAGUUUGCUAUCCACCCGCCCGGUGGACACCUCGGAAGGCAACGCGCGUACCUUCUUCGGCCUGGCCGAGACCAAGCUGUACGUGGUGGUGGGCUGCGUGGCCGCGCUCGUGCUGGUGGCGCUGCUGCAGGCCGCAUGCACGCUGUACAGGAGCCGCGGCGGCCAGCGGGGGAAGGACCAGCUGAUCCCCAACGCAGCGUGGAAGGACUACUCAACAGCGAACACCAACUACGCGUUUGAACCUUUCGAGAACGAUGACAAGUAUAACUCCACCACAUCCACCGCUCCACUCCGGGAGCGGCCCCCCUCCACCCCCGCCCGCCCCACCAACCCACCCCCGCCGAGGCCUGGCAGUGCUGGAGCAGCCAGGAACGGGAAGCCUGUUAAUGGCAACAAGCCGAUGAACGGCAGCAAGCUGACCGGCGCCGCCCCCGCCGCGGCGGGCGGGCGGCCGCGGGCGCCCAACAGCGCGGCGCAGUACUACCACGACACGCGCUCGCUGCAGCGCCCGCGGGCGCAGCUGGGCUACACCGGCCGACCAGAGCGCGCAACGUACUCCUUGCCUCGGGGAGCACGGGGCGAGCCACCAGGCCUCUCAGCGCAGCCAGACUUCUACUUCAUGCCUUCACAGCGCAAAUACGAAGGUGAAGUUGUCAGGGUAUUCGUCGAUUACAGGGGCAGGGAUGACGGUAACGAUUGGAGUAACGAGUGGGACGGGGUUAACGAUGGCCUUAGGGUUAACGACGACCGUAGGGGUAACGAUGACCGUAGGGGUACCGGUGACCGUAGGGGUACCGGUGACCGUAGGGGUAAACAUGACCGAGGUAAAGGUGAUUGGGGUAAAAGUGAUUGGCGUGGGAGGGAUGAGCUUAAUUAAGAAGUAGUAAGAAGUGUUAGGAAAUAGUUCUGGACUAAGGUGGGGAUUGAAAAAGUUUUAUGUGACAAUAAAGUUUAAAAAAGCUUUAAGUAUAUUUAGUCCAGUAAUAUUUAGAACUGUGCCAGUAAAUAAAAUACAAAUUUUAAUAUUUUUUUAUGUACUUUAGGGACUUGUUUUUAGACUGUUACGUUUGGAUUCACGCAAAAAUUGUGUUAUUAUUUUUCAUGUUUUAUGCCGAGGUGAUAACGUAAUAUUAACAAUAAUAAAUAUUAAUGUUUAUGUAGUUAGUUAAUUUUGAUGUUAUGCUAGAUUUACACAAAAAGUCCUGUUGUAAAAUACAGUUUUUUUUAUAGUUAUGGUUUUUAUAUCGCCUUUCUUCCACUUUAAGUAAUAAAAAAAUCAAUUUCAUACUUGUCUUAAGUUUUAGCCACGAUUUUUUAAAUUAAAGAUAUCUUUGCUUAAAUCACAAUCUCACCUGGUUAAAAUAAAUUUGAAUUAUUACGACUUCAGUCAAAAAGUCAAAAGAGAUUUAUUGCAAGUCGUGAGCUUAUGUUAAAAAGAAACUGCAUUUUCAAAAGGCGCGUUGUAAAGGGACGCUCACAGUUGCUUGUAUGGGCAAAACACCCGGGUUUAAACCCAGUACUUAGGUAAACACCCGAAGAACCAAAACACCCAGUUUGUGAGUUCGUACGGGUUUUACCCAAGCAUCUGGUUUAAUUUAAACACAUCAAUAUCGGUUACCAUAAUCGGUUGUUUGUCGGGUUUAAACCCGGUGGAAUGCCUAUUAGCGAUGGGCGUUAUUAACCAUAACUGGUUAUAUAUGCAGUUACGAGCUCGAACAGUGAUCACUCGUUUUCCACUACAACAAAAACUAGUGAUAUUCAUAACGCCAUUUAAACGAUCGAAAUAGGCAUCAGUCUUCAAUAACUCUUUUAAUCACAACGCCAUAAAGUUAAAUCGAAUUCACUCUUAUGUUUAAGGCAUAGCGUCGAUGUUUGGCUACUUUCACUACUCACGCAAAAUCACUGGUUUUACAAUAUUCGUAAUGACAAGAUGAAAACGACGUUUUACAUUGACCACCUUACACAUAGCUUUGACAACGUAAAGGAGUAAAACGAGUAAUGUAAAACGCGCCUAAAAAAAAGGAUCGCAACAAAAUCGAUCCUUUCGUGUAUUAAAUGAAACACGAGCGUAAGUGUGAAUGAAACAAGUAUAUGUUUUACUGAUACACGAUACGUGUGCGUGAAGAAGAAUUAAGUUAUACUGCUACCUAACCAAACGAUUUUACGUUACAAUUAUCACGUUUGCUUCAGAACGUUGUGAAAAUAACUAGUUAUAAAAAUCACUAGUUAAGAAACUAGUUAUUGGAAAUCACAUAACGCUUACGUUACGUUAUCUCAAAAACCGAUAACGACCCAUCGCUAAUGCCUAUAAAAUUCGAAGUAGUUUGCUUCUAGCUUCACACUAAUGUUUGAAUUCGCACUCGCUUGUUUCGCAGCUAACUUCAGUAGAUAGACGAGUAGUUUGAUGGUUUUGGCGUAUCCAGUGUACUUUGGACGUCCUGAUAUUGGCGUUUUCUAAAUUUUUGAACGAGACUUCGGAGUUUGAUUCCGAAUAUUAUUAGUUACCAACAGAUUAAAAAAUACUUUUUUACACCGAUCAAAUGUACCUUUUAAGACUUUUUGCACAUUUUUUCUUUUUAAUUUUACUUCCAAACCAGAUCUAGUCUCAUGUCACAGUUUUAAAAAAUAAGUUAAUAUUUUCACAUCUUUUUUUUAAAUAAUGUAAUUAUUUUCAUAGAAAAAUACUAUUGUAAAUAUUAAAUGUUUAUUUUAAAUAUUCUAUUUCCGCUGUAUAUUUUGCAGUAAAUAUAAAUAGGUUUAAAUUAAAUUAUGCAGGUGUGUUCGCUUCUUUUUGUAUUUUUUUAAAAUAUAUCAAAGAGUGUGAAAAAACACAAAAAGAUAGACAUGCCAUAAUGUAAGAAAUAAUCACAAAAUUAUUUUUAGGGAAAAUUAUUUUUAUAUUAUAAUUUUAGACUAAGAUUAGUUUGGCGAUUAUCACAUAGGAUGAUAGGUAGGAGACAUGUUAUAUUUUAUUACUUACUUUUAUUUAAUUUUUAACUGUAAAAAAACAUUCCAAAUAGUUACUAAAAAUUGUAUUAGAUAAAAUCACUUGAGAUUUUAAAACCUUGUACUUAUUGAAUUUUAUUCAUUCAUUAUCAUCAUCUUCCUAGAGUUUUCACAGGGCCCGCCUUUACCUUGAAGAUUUGACAGGUACAGUUUUUUUUAUAGAAGCGACUGCCUGUCUGACCGCUACACGAUCGGUCACACACUUCCGAAACACAUCUCGGGAAUGUGGGUUUCCUCACGAUGUUUUCAUGAUGUUGAUGUUUUCAUGAUUGACUUUUUAAUUAUUAAUAUUCAUAAUAGUAUACACCAAAUAGUUGUACUUAUAUGUAAACUAUAGAAAAGACAAGAAUAUUCAAAUCUAACGAAGGUAAUUGAAUUUAUUUAUAUAAAGUAAAAAAGUAACAAAUUAAUAUUGUAUUUUAUAUUUCGUAUGUAUUUAUAACCGGACCUAAGACUACAGAAUAAAAAUACUUAUUAUAUUUUCA